rnacentral:tRNA from 1 species
GAUUCAGUAGCUCAGCUGGCAGAGCACCUCCCUUUUAAGGAGGGGGUCCUGGGUUCGAGCCCCAGCUGGAUCA